UGUGCUGAUGUAUUAUAUUCACGCUUUGCAUGUGUUUUUAUCAUGCUCUCAUCAUUGAUGUGGGUUAUUUAUGUGAUUCUAUAGAUAAUUUUCUUUCAAAAAGUAACGGAAAAAAAUGUAUUAUGUAGGACAGGUGGUUUACAGUCCUCGAAUAUUAAAAAAUCACAACUUAAAAUCCAUCCCUGAAGAAAUAAGAACAUAGAAGAAUGCAUAUAAUGGGUCCCAAAAUUGUGUGUACUGAUUAGGCAAAGUAGCCUUGCGAGUUCGAGAUCUCCUCCUUGUCCAAGUUACUCAAAAGGAGCUAUAAAACAAAAAAUGGCAAAAGAUGAAAAAUAAACUCACACUCAGCCUCUUAAGGCUUCUUCUCUAACUAAUCGAAUCUCACCAUGGUCCCCACCAAACACCUACGCACUUACCCACAAGUAACAAUCUCAUUCCUCCCUAAUUACAUCAUUUUCCCAUCACGUCUCUCCCUCCUGUUUCUUCGGGAUAGACCUUAGCAAAUCGGGUUCUAUCAGCAUAUUUUUGAAUAUAUGUAUAUUAUAAAACCUCUUCAUUUUCUUUCAAAUUGUUAAGGAAAUGUCAUAAUAUGAGAACUGGUUUCAGUGUAAUUAUUCUCAAUUUUAAAGUUAGACAUGGAGCUUAUAGCGUUUGGCACUGCCAACAUCUCGUGCAUAAUUGAAUUGUAUGUUUUAAUUGAAAGUAAGCUGUCUUCUUGCUUUGUAAUAUUCUCAUCUUGAGUUCAAUGUGACCAUAAACAUAUGCAGUGUCGAUGCUUUUAAAAAGACAAGCUGCUGAAGAUUCAGCACCGUGCAAAAAAUCAAAUUCAUCUUCACUUGGGAAUUUAGGGAAUUGUUCUCAAGGAUUUAAUGGAUCAUUUGACAAUGGUGACCAAUCGGGCGAUCUUCCAAGUGAAUCUUGUUCUUUGACAAACCUAGAAACAGAAGAUUCUCUAUUAGAAACAGGUGAGUGUUCUGGUGGAAGUUAUGCCAAGGAGGCUGCAUGCAAAACCUUAACUACGCACGAACCUCUACAUGCGAAAGCAUUACCUGAGAAUCCAACUCGGAAAAGAGUUAGAAGGUGUUCCCAGAUGUCAUUAAAGGCAUUCUUCCAGAAAAAUUCAGUUGUUAGCAACGAUGCUGACAGCUCUAAUGCAGAUUCUUCAAUCAGCAAAGGAGAUACCUCCGAGUCUAAUUCUAUUGAAAUUCCUAGAUCAAAUACUCAAAUCAGCGACUCAGGCCGACAGUUAGAAGCAUAUCAGGGUCAGUCUCAAAUUAAUGCCACUCCUGAGAAAGAAAAGAGUGGUGUUGCCAUGUUGGAAUGGCGGAGGAUACAGCAGGUUAUGCAGAAUAGCAUACCCCUUUGCAAGGGCCAUAAGGAGACUUGUGUUGCUCGAGUAGUUAAGAAACAAGGUCCUAAUAAUGGCCGCAGAUUUUAUGUUUGUGCUCGUGCGGAGGUAACCCUAUUGUUUUCUGAGGGUUUUAACACGGUAUCAAAUUUAGAAAGUUUUAUUACAAAUUACCAAGUCAACAAGUGAUGAGUAGUACUCAAGUAUUAAUAAAUAUUGAAUUAAUAAUUCAUUAACUUGCAUACCCUGGUUAUAACUCAUUUAAUUUUUAUUGAUACAUGCUUGUAGUCGAGUAUUUAUAAAGAUUGAAUUUAUCAUAAUUCAUUAACUUUUGCUGUUCGAUGUUCCCCUGCGAUUUAACACAUUUUAUUUUCAUUGGUGCAUAUCUCGUAGCCAAUGUCAAGUACCUUUGCUAACUGAAAAUUUCUUUUACUUCAUCAGGGUCCCGCAUCUAAUCCUGAAGCAAAUUGUGGUUACUUUAAAUGGGCGGCUUCCAAAUCUCGGCAUAAAUAAGCCGAUAAUUGCUGGUGUCGUAAUGCAGAAUUGGCCAAAUUCAUUCCUUAUCCUUUGCUUCCUACCAGUAUUCAAUUUUGUAUCUCUGGAUGGAUGCUGACUCGCUGACCAUCAAUUCUGUAAGAGUUAUUGCCCUUUCUCUCUUACUUUUAGCGCCUGCAUAUAUGAACUCCAAUCAUUUAGCUAGUUGGAAUCAGCUCAUGUAGUAGCGUCACAUGCACAUAAAAUUAUCAUUUCUUUUUCUUAAUGGCAAGAUGAAUGAGAAACCACUUUGUUGAUUUUUAAAAAAUACACACACAAAACCAACUUUUGCUUAGAGCCUAGAGGGAAAAGAAAGAUUAACUGAAUCUUGAUCCAACUAUCCUGCCUUUUUAAUGGUUAGUUUAAAAACAAUGAUUUUAACUUAUCUGCAAUUAGCAUACUGAUGGUGACUAUUUGCACUAUGGGAUCCUUCCUAAUAUCUUCGAACAAAGUUGCAGGAUAGUUUGCUGAUAAAAAGUGUCAAGGAAAGGUAAAAAGGUAUGACAACGAACUGCUGUUUCACCACUAACUAUACUGCUGAGCUUCAUUUUUUAACAAAAAAAUCCAAGCAUGAUUCACAACCCUUCAAUACACUGAUAUUUCUUUUUGUUUGCAUGUAAACUUGCUGCACUAAAUUAGGAACCUUUUUGCAUAUAUAUUCUAUUCAAAACCUAAAUGAAGAGAUAACCCUUCAAACAUUCCUCCUCCCCUUCUUCACCCAGAAACAUGAAUUCAGUGGAUGAUCUCGGUUACAGCAACAGACGCCUUCUUAAAGAUUCCUUAUUUGAACAACCAUUUGGAAACCGAGAAAGAAUUGUUACUAUAUGUGCGACUUCUGCCAUUGCAGCCCUGUUUGUAAUCUCUCUGUUCAUCUCCCUCUUCACCUGCUUUCGGCGUCAACUGAACUCUCCUUCCUCUAAACCUCUCUCAUCCACAUGUAGCAGCCAGUUACUCACUACCAUGCCUGUAUAUAUCUAUGGUGAUUCAUCUUCGAAUAUGCCGUCGUCUUAUUGUUUUACAUCGUUUGAAUCCAGGACCUGUGUCAUAUGUUUGGCGGAGUUUGAGUACGGAGAUGAACUUCGUGUUCUGCCUAACUGCAAGCAUGUGUUUCAUAAAGGUUGCAUUGAUCAAUGGCUUCCAUUGAGAUCGUUGCUUUGCCCUCUUUGUCGAGAACAUACAAUCAAGGAGAUUGAGACCAUGAGGAGACCCGUUUGUUCAAACUAUUGGUCCCGAAAUCCAGCCUUCAUAUUGGCUUUCGGCCUUGGUAGUAAUGCCCCAUUACCCUCUCAAUUGUAAUUUCCAUAUCGAGUAAUUACAAAUCUAGCCUAAUUUAUCUAAACUAGAAUAGCAGCUUAAAAAGUUACGAUUACACAAACUCGGAAAAUACAUCUUAAUUAAUAUAUUAGUUAGUAAGUAUUUAGUAUGGUUAUUGUUAGUCAAUCUAUAAUUUAAUCGGUGAUAUACUAAGAACAUAGUUGAUUUAUAUUUAAGUUAAUCACGGAUAUAUUAAGACCUAAUUCAUUUGAUAUAGUUUAGAUAGAUAAUACAUAGUUUAUUCAUAAGAAUUGAUAAACAUCGCUGAGGUUGCCAACGAUUUGAAGUACUGCAUUUGAUAUGUGCUUUUGUGAUGUAUUACAUACAUGUUUGGUUAAAAUUUAUGAGUGACAACUCCAAGACGGGUAACUUUGGCGUAUCUACACGUUUUUGUAAUUUCAUGUUGGGUAGUCCACUUGAUUUUAAAUAAGGCUAAAUAAUUAAAGAAAAAACUUUUAUUUUCUUAACUUUUCAAAAUUUUCAAUAAUGCUUUUAAAGGUUAAACAAAAGGUUCUAAAUAUCCAUGCAAUUAGUUUUGGGUUUUGUACUAAAAACAAAAAAAAAUGUCAUGGCUAUUGCUAUUGCUAUUAACGAUUUCUGUACCUAUAUUAAUGAUAGGGAUAUUUUUUUUAACGUUUUUAAAUUUCAUUGUUGAAAAUUUUGGAAGUUUAUUCACUUUUCCUUUGUUGGGUGCUAUAUUUGUUUUAAAUUUAUUAGAGGGUGUCAACUUUAGAUCUGAAAAUUUAUUAGAGCUAUUUCACAUGAAACAGUGAAUAAAGUAAAAGUGGUUUAAUUUUUUUGUCCUUUCAUGUCUUAACUAAAAAUAUGCUCUUUAAAUUUUGCUUGGAUCUCUAAUUUUUCAAUGAUUAUCUUUUCAGCCAUGAAUUUUGAAUUCAAUUUCUAUUUGAUAUUUAAAGUUCUCAAAGUAUUACUUUUUGAGAGAUGUGUUUCUAUUUAAUUUGGAAGUUUCAAUCACUUUAUCAUUAGUUAACAAUCACCUUUGAUCUUUCAGUUAAUUACAAUUUGAAAAGUUUAAGUGUAAAAUAAUUGAUCCAAAACUAAACAUUAUUGUGAAGAAAAAGAUGGAUCCAUACCGAACAGUCCCAUUAGAAAACAUCCAAAGAAGGAAGUCUUUUUAUUUUAAAAAAUAUUUACAUGCAAAGUCUUCCACUUUAAAUUAUAAAUAAUAUAUCUAUUCCAAAACAAAAUUAUUAGUAAUACACACGGAGGAGAUGGAGGUGGAGGUGGAGGUGGAGGUGGAGGUGGAGCAACUUUUUUUGCCGGGUCGGACCCAACAUUCUAGAAGGCUUCAAUUGGAAAAAUGAAUUCACAUUUCCGCAAAUGAGAAGUGCUACUACACAUUUAUUCAUUAACUUUUGAGCUUUUAUCUUUAAAUUUCAAAAUAUCAUAAUUUUACCUUUUUUUUAUUUUAUAUUUGAGUUUUGUUUCGACUAAAUCUAUCACUCUCAAAUUUUACUCUUCUAAAUUGAAUAUUCAUUUUUCAAUCUUUAAUAUUAAUUUUCAAUUUUCAAUUUUUAAUAUUAAUUUCUAUUGAUUAAUUUAAGCUUUUAAAAAAUCAUAGCCAAUUAAGUUUUAUCAUCUUUUUCAUUAUUAUUAAAAUUUAAUUUUAAAUUAUUAAUAUAUUUAACAAUAAAGUCUAAAGUAAGUAUUUAAAAAAAAAAUCUAACAAUAACUUAGCUUAACCAACACAAACACAUGUAUAACGAUAAAACGAAGUAGAAAUAAAAUCUUAAGAGUAAACUUUAAUGUUUAGAGAUUUUUAAUUAAAUUGAAAUAAAAAAAUAUUCGAGACAAAAAUAUAAUAUCUUGAAAUUUAUUAACUAAAGAAAAACAAAACCUGAAGAAGAUAUUUUCCAUUUUUAAAAACAAAAAAUAACAAAAAGAUAUGUUCUUUAGCAGACCAAAAAAAAAAUGGAAGAAGUUUUGGAUUUAGAAGGAAGAGGAGUACCAGCUGGGGGCUGCCAUAAUUUUGGCCCUACAAUUAUGCCCUUUUUUUCAUUUUUUAAAUAUAUGAUAAUCUUUUUUAUUUCCAUUAAAAGAAUAAACAACUCAUCCAUUAUAAAAAAAUGACUUCAAGAUCUUUUUAGGAUGGAAACAUAUUUUUCCACUUAGAGAACUCAUUUGGCUACAAUUCAAUAAAAUAAUAAAAAGGAAUCAUACAGGUUUUUUAAUAUCUUUAUUUUGUUUUUCUAAUGCAUUUAUCAAUGUAUAGGAAACCCUAAUUCUAAUUUAUGAGGUAAUUAUUAAUUUGUUUCUUAAAAAAAAAAAGAAUGAAAGGAUAAUAAUUUAACUUUUGUUUCAUAAACAUUUCAUUUAUGAAAAAGAAAUAAUUGAAUACUACUUUUCUUAGUAAAACGUUCUUUUAUUUUUAAUUCUAUUUUUUUAAAACAAAAAAGUAGAAUGUGAUUUUGAGAUCGAUGUUUUUUCGAACUAUUCUUGAAAGUUACGGUAUAUAUUUGUCUAUAUAUAUAUAUAGUGAAUGAAUGGUUGAAAUUGAUACUAUUAAUUCCUUUAGUUACACAAAAAAUGGUUUUAUUGUGUAAGAAAUAAUCUCUCACACCAUUUAAUAAUUUCCUCCACAAAAAAAUAUUACUUCAAACCUUGACUAAAUCUUUUUGUUCUUAGCUUUGUAAUUAAAUAACCUUAUUGAAACAUAAUUUAUUGACCGUUAGAAAAGUUAUUUCUUAAAUUUAAACAUCUCGAGUUUCUUAGAAUAAUUAAUUUUUCUAUGGGAAAAUAUAUAUUUAAAAAAAUGUAUAAUUAUUAAUACUACAAAUUCAAAUUCUCCUUAUCUUUAAUUCGUACACCACUUUAAAAGAAGAUCUAAUCCUUUUAUGAUAAUAAUUAUGACAUAAUUCAAGCUGAAACUUAAAAGAUUAAGAAAUUAUAAUUAAAAACUGGAGAUGACCAAGAACCCAUUGGGUUUGAUUUUAACGUCUUGAGCUUGACCCAUUAGAGAGUGAAAGAAAAGUCGAAAUUUGCUUUGUUUUUUUUUUCAUAUUUUUUAAUCAUAUUAUUUGAAUUUUAAUGUUUUUGUUUUGUUAUUUUUGUUAUUGUUGUGGUUAUCUUUAUCUUCCACUUGGUGAUGUUGUGAUUUGAUUAUCCUAUACACAAAGGAUGUGAUGACACAUUUUCUACUUAUUACUGCUUUUAUCUCAACUUUAUUUUAACAUAAAGUUGUUAUUUUAUGCUCUUCUAUUUCACUAGUGGCUAAUUAUUAAUGAUCAAAAUGAUAGAUUACUACUCUUUAUAUAUAUAUUUAUAGAUCAUACGUUCAAUACACGUAAAAGUUUUAUAAUAGGGGUUUAUAAAGAAAAAGUAUGUUGAUAUAACAAUGGAAAAGUAUUUAGAAGGAUAGAGACAUGGAGUUUUCUUCUUCUUAACUAAUAAAGAAAGGUGGAAUGGAGAAUUUUUUAUCUAUUAAUUUAAAUACAUGUGAAAAUUAAUCUCCAUAAAAUUUGAUUUAAGUUAUAUUAUGUUUCAUUUUUUGGAUGUUGAUCGUUUUUUCUUUCAUUAAUUACGACAAAGAAUAACUGUGUAGAGGUAUUUAUUUAGUUUUGAUCUUCCUCCUUAUGGCCACUUAACCUUUCCCUCUCAUAUUGCCAUGCACUGUCCCUAUUUUCUUUUUCUCUUCUCUUCUUCUCUUUUCUUAUCUUUUCUUCCUCUUUAAUUUCUUCAUCAAUAUCUUUCCUAGCGUUUCGAAGAAGAGGAGAAAGGAAAAAGAAGAAGAAAUUUGAAAUAAAUGGCAUGUGGCUCUUCAUUUAAGAGUUAUGUUUUUAGAUUUCAUGAUGUUCUUCCUCAAGGAAUACAUUUUCUUCCUUUUGUAUAACAAACUUGAAUAAGAGACAUUUUUUUUGUGAAUUGGAACUUCAUUUUUUUCCUUUAAUUUUUCUCCAUUUUUUAUUAUUACUUAUUUAGCAUAAACCAAACCUAAUAGUUAAGUGAGUGGUUGUUUAAUUAUUAAUGAUUUUUUUAAAUUCCGAUAUUUCAACUAAUUAAUUAAACAUUUAACAUGUAAAUAAAACUUUUGUUAUAUUUUAUUUUUGUAAAAAAGCUGAGAAUUAGGCAGCUGUUUUUCUACAACAUGUGUUUCUUUGGGCCAGGGUUCUAGAAACAUUAUUGUUUUCUUUCUUUAAUAUAUAACACACUUAAUGUUAUGUUACACACAUCAUAUAAACAUAUAAUUAUAUAAAAUAUAAUUCAUCCAAUGGGUUUCAAAUGCUUCACUUUCAUAAGUUUCAAAAGUCAAGCUAAUUAUUCAUAAAAUAAUCCUCAACUAGGGCCAACAUUAAAGGGUCACUAAAUAAAUACGAACUAAAGGUUAAACAUAUUUUUCUAAUAUAAAAGAUGAAAAAUUGUAACAUAUAAUUUACUUAGGAUAGUGACCCCAAUAAUAUAAUAUAUAUAUAGAGAGAGAGACAGAGAGAGAGAGAGAGAAGAUUAGAAUUUAAAAUGGAGUAAAUUGAGAGCCAAUCAACAUCUGAAUCAGUCCAAUAAAUUAGGGUUUUGUUAAGUCAACUAAGCUUUUUGUUAAGUCUUCUAUAUGACGAGAGACUUAAUUAAAUGAAUUACUUUUUAUGAUAAUGUUUAUUUCAUUUAAUUUGUUUAAUUCAACUAAUUGGACAAUACUCUCUUUGUAAUUAUUAUCAUUAUUUUAUAUUUACUUUUGAACAAUAUGGGUUCACCAAUUAAAGCAACUUACUAUUAUUUUAAUUUUAAUAAAUUUUGUCGUGGAUGUUUGCUUGUAAUGAUAGUGAUGUUAUCGAUCAAAAUUUUGAGAAAUUUUUGGUUCAAUCAUCUUUUUACUUUUUCUUGUGUGUGUUUAAGUUUAUUAUUAUUAUUUAAAUUUUACUUUAGAAAUCAUAUUCAUACCAUUAGAAAUUCCAAUUAACCUAACUACGUCUUGGAUGAAUUCAUAAAAAUUAUAUAUAAUUACAUUAGUUUGCCCCUUCAUAUGUCUACCCUUUUUUUUAAUUAGAUUUAUCAUGAAAACUUUGUUAAAUAUUCAUUAAUUCCACCUAUCGAAUCCACAUUCGAUCCAUCACUUUUUAUUAUACAACUCUUGGAAUAUGUAUAAUUGAAAAAUACAUAAAUUUUUUAUUUAAAUUGAAUAACAAAAUAAAAUAUUUAAAAAUAUAUGAUUGUUGCUAAAAAAAAUUAGAUGCAUCACUUAUAAAUUUUAUCAAUUUUAAACUAUUAAAAUUAUAUAUCUUACAUAAUUAUUUUAUCCAAACAAAAUAAUUUGAAUUGAUUCAUCGGUUCAAAGUUUAAACCAAUACAAUUUUCUUAAAGUUUAUUAGGCCACGUACGAUGAUGAGUCAUAUGAAAUAUUUGACAUAAAAAUAUACAUAACUCUACCUGCAUAAAAAAAUAUUUGACAUCUAGGCAAAUUUAUAUAUACAAAUUAAAAUAAUUUAAUCCCAACUUACUAGAGGAGGUUUAGGUAUUAGGUCAACCUUAUUCAUACCAAUUAAAGAGUAUAUAUGUUGCUACCUUGCUAAGCAACAUUUACAAAAUUAAAAAUUAAAAAAAAAAUUGAACAUUAUUUGAAUUAGCUAACAUUAUAGUUAUUUUAAAAUAUUUUUUAGUUGUAACUAAACCAACAGAAUAUUUUCCCACUCCAUAUAGUAAGCAAGGUAGAAAAAACCCAUUUUAAACUUAAUUAAAAAUCAUGAAAUCUUUAUUAAGUAAUUUCAAAAAACUACUUUAAAUAUAUAACUUUUUUUUAAAAAAAAGACAUCUACAUUUUAUUUGUAUUUUUAUUUUAAAAAAAACUAUAAAGUUGAGACAUCCACUUCUUAUUGGACAUUUUGAAAUUUCAAUAUUAAAAAAAAAAAGAUCUCUUAAAUAUCAAUUGAUUAUCAAUUGUCACAUUUUUUUUUUAAGUAAACAAUCCCAACUAUUAAAAUCGACGCAAAAUGGUAACAACCACAAACGUAUAACUUAAUAAUCAUCAAAAUUCAAUAUUAAAUCAAAUAUUUAAAAUUACAUCAAAUAAUAAUAAAUGGUAAGUACAGUUCCCAUUACCACACGGCUCUUUAUAGUCUUUUUUUCUAAAAGAAAAACUCUUUACCUAUUACCAUUUUUACUCAAUUUUUUUUUUAUAAACAUUCACAUAUUAUAUUUUAUUGUACGAAUAUUAAUAUUAUUAAUAAUUAACUAGUUUCAGUAAAACUAAAAUUCACCCAUGAAAAGCACAAUCAUAAACAUAAAUAAAUUUCAAAUUAUAAAAACCCAAAAAUGUUAUAUUAUAUAGAUAGAUAGAUACUAUAGUAUUAAAAUCCAGAAAGAAAAAUUAAUAAAAUCAUAUUCACUAAAAAAGGGGGGGAAAAAGAGAUUCUCUUGAUAAAAAGAUCUCCCAAUUGAAAGUACAUUGAUACCAUAAAUAAAAUAUUUUUGAAAAAGAAAAAAGAAAAAAGAAAAGGAGGAUAUUUUUUUUAAUUUAUUGGUUGGAAAGUUGGUAGUUCAAUUACGUCCAGGUAUUUAAAUUGAUAAUAAUAAUAAUAAUAAGUGGAGUGUAUUCUCCAACAGCACAAAGAGAAAAACCUUGUGGAGAGUUGAGGAGAGGGUCCCAUGCGUUCUUGGAUUAUAUCAUAUAUCACCUUUUUAUUAUUAUUAUUAUUUAUUUUCUUCUUCAAAUUAAUCAUUUUACUAAUGAGUUCAGAUAUAUAUAUAUAAUGAGAAAUUAAUUUUGACAAUGAUCAUAUUCUACUAUAAAACUAGGACAUGAAUCGAGAUUGAGGCAAACACAAAUUCCUUUUAUGAAAUGCCUAAAUUUCUUUGUAUAACACUUAAAUAGCUUGUUGAGGAAUGAUCUCAAUUCUCAAAGCUCCAUGAUGUGUCAAAUAUUAAUUUUGUAAAAUUUGGUCGAUCACAGUUUCAUAUUUUGACCUAAUAGUGAGAUUGUCACCUCUAAUCCCACCCUCUUACAAGUGGAGAGCCAACUACACACCGAAUGCUCUAUGAAAACACAGCCAUUGGGAUCUACACAUGCUUUCAUAAUUUGAUCAAAAUUAAAUUUCGUUAAAUAAUAUAAAUUAUUUUUAGUGUACUUUCUUCAAUAGUUUUAGACGGCAUUUUCCAUUUAUAAAAUAUGCAUAUUGUUUUGAAGAAUCAUUAGAAAAAAAAAAGGUAUUCUUACGUAAGAUAUUUUGAAAAUUUAAUUUCAAUACGUUAAUCUUUUUUCUUUCUUUAAUGGAUGAACAGGACUUAGUUUCCCAAUGUUUCAUCUUUUUCUAUACUUAAUAACUAUUCUCAUUUGUUGAAAAAAAAAAUUAGAAACCUAAAUUUGAUUGAUAAUCAUCCUUUUUUUUUAAUCAGCUAAAAAAUAAAAAAAUGUAUAUAUAAUUCAUUAUUAUAUAUAAAUAAUUAUAAAACAUCAACUUCUCAAAUACACAUAAACAUCGUUGCAAAAUUAAUAAAUAUAAGAAAAAUUAUAUCAAAUGACAAAAACAUUAAAAAGAAUUAGCUCGUAGACACAGUUUUUUUAUAUUACAAAUAUGACAGAAUUAGUGAUAUUAGACCGUAAUCAUAAGUUAUCAUAGGACUAUCAGAUGAUCAUCACUUUUAGAUUUGCUAUUUUUGCAAAUUUAGAAAAUGUUAGGACAUAGGUUCUAUUAUCCUAAUUUUUUUUUGUUGAUAUUUUUGCAAAAGUCCCUAAAAUAAUACAAUAUUUUUUAUCAAUCAUAUGCUAUUAAAAGCUGAUUUAAAGCAUUAUUUCUCAUUCAAUUCAUUUCUUUUAAAUAAUGUUGAUUCAAAUUUAACUAAAUUAUAUCAUUAUGGUUGUAAAAUAUUCAAAAGAAAGAUAGAGAAAUUGACAAAAUGUUUACGCUUCACAAGAAAAUCAAGUGUAAUUAAUUUUAUCAUUUAUGAAUGUUUUAUGAAUCGUAAAUAUUUUGUUAAAACUUUUCAAUUCUUGGAAAGAAAAAUCCCUCAAAGAUAACCCAAACGAUUAUCUUAGCAAAAAAAAAUCAUAUAAUGUAAAAUUCUAUCCUUAUAUUAAAAAUAAUAAUUUAAAAUUUAAAAUAGCAUAUAAAGAUAUAAAUUGUAAAAUUUAAAUUUUUGGAGAAUAAAAAUAACAUAUAAAUUUAAAUAACAUAUGCAACGUGGUAUAUGAUAUUUUUUACCCUGUUGGCUCCCACUAAAGGGGCUUGCUUUAAAUCCGAGGGCACCUCUCAUCUCACCUAAGCACAGCCAAGGAUCACACUUCCUCUUAUCACAAACUUCAAAUAGCAUAACAUUAAGAGUGAAUUUAAAUAAUAACAGUUACCAUAAAAUAAUUUAAAUAUAUAUGAAUUUUAGGAAUAUUUCAAAUUUUGAAAAAUCUAUAAAAUAUUUACUAACUAAUAUAAAAAUUAAAUGUAAUUAAUUUUGUGGCUCAAAAAUGUUUUGAUAUAUAAUUUAGAUCAAGUAAAAAUUCUUAGGUAGGGAGGUGAGAGGACAAGUCCUUUAUAAAGUUGCUUAUUUUUUCUACGAUUAAAUAGUUUGUUUUAUUUUUUUUCUUCAAAAUCUGUUAAUUUUAAUAUAGAUUAAGUUCAAGAGAAUUUUAAAUUUACAAAGAGAAAAUAUAUAGAUCAUAGAUACACAGUGUUAUUUUAUAAAUAUUUUAGUAUGUUAAGUAAAGUUGAAGAAAUAAAAUAAAACAUUUAAAAAUACAAAAACCAAAAUAAGGAAAGGAAAUGAAUCGAAGAUGGAGAAGCGAAGUGGAGACACCGUCAUCGUUCACAUCCGUUUAUUUAGAAAUUAGAACCUUCUCUUUUUUUAUUUAUUUAAUUGUGGAAGGAAAAAAAGGGGGGGUUUUAAACGGCGUGCAUAUGCAAGAACGGAAAAGCAAUAAAAUUGGAUAAGCCAAUUGCUGAGUCACUAUCCUGCAGCCUGGGCCCACAUAGAAACCCAAAAUGGCCUUCUCAUUUAACCCCAUACACUCACUUUUAUAACUCUGGUUAAAUUUUUGACCCAACCCCCGGUCCCACUCCUUCUUUUUAUAUAAUCCCCAUCCCCUCUCCCCCUUCUUUCUCCAUCCAUUUUCAUCCCCCACAAAUCCAAGAAAAUGUUAUCUGCUGCCUCUUCUCCUCUUACUCUCCCCUCUCUUCCACCCCUUUCUUCCUCUCCCCGUGACUUUACACGUGUCAGAUUCCGACCUCCACAGGCCUUCUCCUCCACCGCCACUGCUUCUUCCACCGCCUACGCCUCCAGACCCGACACCGCCUCCCCCUAUCUCAACCUUCAAACAAUGUCUUCCUGCACUUCCCUUUACGACGUCCUUGGAAUCCCUACUGGAGCUUCUUUUCAGGAGAUUAAAUCCGCAUACCGACGACUUGCCAGACUUUGUCACCCUGACGUUGCGGCCAUCCACAGGAAAGACUCAUCUGCCACCGAUUUCAUGAAGAUCCACGCCGCUUAUUCCACUCUCUCUGAUCCUGAGAAACGUGCUGAUUACGAUCGGAAGCUUCUUCGUCGGUGU
rnacentral:lncRNA from 1 species